UACGUAGGGAGCAAGCGUUGUCCGGAAUCAUUGGGCGUAAAGCGCGCGUAGGUGGCCUCGUAAGUCCGCUGUGAAAGUCAAAGGCUCAACCUUUGAAAGCCGGUGGAUACUGCGGGGCUAGAGUACGGAAGAGGCGAGUGGAAUUCCUGGUGUAGCGGUGGAAUGCGCAGAUAUCAGGAGGAACACCAAUAGCGAAGGCAGCUCGCUGGGACGUUACUGACACUGAGGCGCGAAAGCGUGGGGAGCGAACAGG
rnacentral:rRNA from 1 species